UACGGAGGGUGCAAGCGUUAUCCGGGUUCACUGGGUUUAAAGGGUGCGUAGGCGGGUUGGUAAGUCCGUGGUGAAAUCUCCAAGCUUAACUUGGAAACUGCCGUGGAUACUAUCAAUCUUGAAUAUCGUGGAGGUAAGCGGAAUAUGUCAUGUAGCGGUGAAAUGCUUAGAUAUGACAUAGAACACCAAUUGCGUAGGCAGCUUACUACACGAUCAUUGACGCUGAGGCACGAAAGCGUGGGGAGCGAACAGG
rnacentral:rRNA from 1 species